rnacentral:rRNA from 1 species
GAUGAACGCUAGCGGCAGGCUUAACACAUGCAAGUCGAGGGGCAGCACGUCUUCGGAUGGUGGCGACCGGCGCACGGGUGCGUAACGCGUAUACAACCUACCUUAUAGAGGGGAAUAGCCCAGAGAAAUUUGGAUUAAUGCCCCAUAGUAUUAUUGAAUAGCAUUAUUUAAUGAUUAAACAUUUAUGGCUAUAAGAUGGGUAUGCGUUCUAUUAGCUAGAUGGUAAGGUAACGGCUUACCAUGGCGACGAUAGAUAGGGGUCCUGAGAGGGAGAUCCCCCACACUGGUACUGAGACACGGACCAGACUCCUACGGGAGGCAGCAGUGAGGAAUAUUGGACAAUGGGCGAGAGCCUGAUCCAGCCAUGCCGCGUGCAGGAAGACGGCCCUAUGGGUUGUAAACUGCUUUUAUACGGGAAGAAACACUCCUUCGUGAAGGAGCUUGACGGUACCGUAAGAAUAAGGAUCGGCUAACUCCGUGCCAGCAGCCGCGGU